rnacentral:rRNA from 1 species
AGAGAGAGACAUGCGCGCAUAUCAAUAAGCGGAGGAAAAGAAACUAACAAGGAUUCCCUUAGUAAGGGCGAGUGAAGCGGGAAGAGCUCAAAUUUGAAAUCUUCAAGGUUCUACCUUGACGAAUUGUAGUUUAUAGAAGUGUUUUCUGUUAGUGGAGUGGCAAAAGUUCUUUGGAAUAGGACAUCAUAGAGGGUGAGAAUCCCGUAUUUGACCAUUACUUCCAGCGUUGUGAUACACUUUCAAAGAGUCGGAUUGUUUGGGAAUGCAGUCCAAAAUGGGUGGUAAAUUUCAUCUAAAGCUAAAUAUUGGCGAGAGACCGAUAGCGAACAAGUACCGUGAGGGAAAGAUGAAAAGAACUUUGAAAAGAGAGUUAAACAGUACGUGAAAUUGUCAAAAGGGAAGCGUUUGACACCAGUGUUGUUUUUCCGAAAAUCAAUUACGAAUGUUUUGUUUUUGAGGAGUUAUGACUUCAUCGGCUUGCUCCUUUCUUUACGAAACUUUCUUAAUGCACUUUUCGGUUAACAAGUCAACAUCAAUUUCUUUUGUUGUAAAAGGGUAUGAGGAAGGUGGCUUUCUUUUCGGAGAAAGUGUUUAUAGCCUUGUACCUCUGCAAUCGGAGAGAUUGAGGUCUGCAGCGUAGAUCCUUCGGGGUUAGAUACGUUUGUGCUAAGUUAUAGCCUUUCAUAGACAACUUGUUGACUAUGUUUAGUCUUGUAGCUUACUCGCUGACGCUAUUUUACCUACGCUUAGGAUGUUGAUAGUCACAGCGUGUAC